UCGGCCUACGGGACGCAGCAGUGAGGAAUAUUGGUCAAUGGGCGCAAGCCUGAACCAGCCAAGUCGCGUGAGGGAAGACGGCCCUACGGGUUGUAAACCUCUUUUGCCGGGGAGCAAGCCUGAGCACGUGUGCCCAGGCGGAGAGUACCCGGAGAAAAAGCAUCGGCUAACUACGUGCCAGCAGCCGCGGUAAUACGUAGGGGGCAAGCGUUAUCCGGAUUUACUGGGUGUAAAGGGAGCGUAGACGGCAGCGCAAGUCUGAAGUGAAAUGCCGGGGCUUAACCCCGGAACUGCUUUGGAAACUG
rnacentral:rRNA from 1 species